GGGGAAUAUUGCACAAUGGGCGCAAGCCUGAUGCAGCCAUGCCGCGUGUGUGAAGAAGGCCUUCGGGUUGUAAAGCACUUUCAGUCAGGAGGAAAGGUUAGUAGUUAAUACCUGCUAGCUGUGACGUUACUGACAGAAGAAGCACCGGCUAACUCCGUGCCAGCAGCCGCGGUAAUACGGAGGGUGCGAGCGUUAAUCGGAAUUACUGGGCGUAAAGCGUACGCAGGCGGUUUGUUAAGCGAGAUGUGAAAGCCCCGGGCUCAACCUGGGAACUGCAUUUCGAACUGGCAAACUAGAGUGUGAUAGAGGGUGGUAGAAUUUCAGGUGUAGCGGUGAAAUGCGUAGAGAUCUGAAGGAAUACCGAUGGCGAAGGCAGCCACCUGGGUCAACACUGACGCUCAUGUACGAAAGCGUGGGGAGCAAACGGGAUUAGAUACCCCGGUAGUCCACGCCGUAAACGAUGUCUACUAGAAGCUCGGGARCCUCGGUUCUGUUUUCAAAGCUAAACGCAUUAAA
rnacentral:rRNA from 1 species